UAAAGCAUUUUUUUCUGUUAAGCUGAUUCUAAUAGCUAUUAAUUUUCCAAUAACUGUUAACUUGUUCGCCGUAUUUCAAGUCAGUGAAAUCAAGUUUACUCCUUUAUGUCCAGUUUCAAUUCCUGGUUUAACUGUGCUCUGUGCAGGAUGCCAGUGUAGAUGAAAAUGCCCAAAUAUUUUUUUCUAUUUUUUUUAGUGGAUUUUUUAGUUAGCAAGAGCAUUUGCAAUACUGCUUUUACCCAAUAUAUGUAUAAGCCCUGCAUGUCUAGCCAUCAGAUAGAAGAACCCACAGCAGUGACUUCAAUAAUAUCUACUCUCUAUGGGCAUGAAUUUCUCCAUGACAUUGCUCCACCACCAGAAACUGUCUCUACUCUUUUUGGCAUUGCCCAGAGGCCAUUCUCUAGCCUGUUUUGCACAAGUCAUACUUCUUCAGCUUUUUCACAUAGGUCCAACACAGUAUCAGGAAAGGGUCUUUCUUGGCAUCAUUGGGAUGUAUAUUCCUAGGUCUGGUGCCAGGGACACCAGAGGACAUGUCUGCAAUGGUUCCAAAAGUGCUGCCAGAACACCACCAUCCCUUUGGCCAGUACACCACCGUCAGGGCUGUCCAAAAAGAAGACAGGAGCAUCCUUCCCUCUUCAGAAGACUCAACCAUUCUUCCAGGGCAACUUAUCAAUGCUGACAGCCGUACUCUGCCCCAGUCCCAAAGCAACACACUCUUCCUUCCUAGAAUUCUUAGGACGAAUAUCUUUUCUGGACAUACUCUUGAUAUCCUCUACAAAAUGUGCCUCCAUUAACUAGUGAGCCUCAUUGACAGUUUUUCAACCCUGAAGCUGUCCGUCCUGCUCAGUUUUGUUUUCCUCAACGAGCUCAGUUGCUUUGGUAGAAGACCCAACUCUCAGUAACGGCUAUAUUUGCAAAGUGACCAAAAGUAUGUAGUUCUAGGGGAAGAAAUUAGUUUUUCCUUCACUCAUUGCACCUCUCCUCCCUAGCUGGAAAGGUGCCAGAAGGGCUAAACAUAGAGACUAGCUUUUGUUUUGCUUUCAGAAAUAGGCCUUUCACAGCUCUUUAACUCUCAUCAGCAGUUGUGUACUACCACUGAGACAAUCAAAACCUACUCCUUAGCCCUUGCUCCACAGGAUUUUAGAAUAGAUCUGCUGCUAGAACAUUGCUUUGGGGAGCAGCUGAGCUUUGAUACCACAGAUUAAAAACCUGUGAUGGAAGCUGGCCUGAAAAGCUACUCCUACUUCUUGACUCUUCCAAAGAUGUGCUGUCUUGCAUCAUGGCUCUUGCUUUUGAGAAAGACAUGCAGGUCUCUUCACUAUAAUUCAUCACAAGCUCUUAUGCUGGCAACUCACUCACUGGGCAGAUGAUACCAAUGUUUGUGCUUUACCCUCUGGGAUGGACAAGAGAUAUGUCUGGAGUAUCCCUUCUUGGCUGGAGAGGGCAUUGAGAAAGAGUUUUGUUCCCAUUUCUCUGAUCAUGAAGGAACGCAGGCCAUAUAUGGGUGACACGGAGCUGUGGAUAGUCAUGCCCAGCAGCAUUAGCAACACAUAAAAGUUAGCAGAGUGACAACUCACCCAGCCUUUCUCUCUAGAUCAUAUUUCUUCUAAGAAAAAACAAACAAACAAACAAACAAAAAACACUCUACAAUUGUCUUGGAUAUACUCCAUCUUUUAUUUUGUCAGAUGAAGGCAAAAUAGAACCCAUCUCCCAAAACAGGACUUACAGACCCAGGUAACUCAAAAAAUAAAUAAAUAAAUAAAAUUACCAAAUCCAGUAUAUAGUGGGUUUUUUUUUCACAGUGAGUUGAGUAUGCAAGGAGUUUGAUUCUUCCCCAAGACAUUAUCAGCCACAGGUAAAUUCUGAUGCAGCAGUGCAGUAAUCCAGCAUCAAAUAUGUCUCCUGGACUGUAGGUUGGGAAAAAAAUAUGGUAAGCGUUUCCUACACAGCACUGCUACAGCAAGAGCUCUCCUCUCCAGUCUGCACUCACUACUUUACAGCUCAAUGUACUCCUUCAGUAUGACCCUGAUUAUUUUGGCCCGUAGGCAACUGCUGGUCUCUUUUUGUAUUGUUUCAUUUAUGUCAAUUGCAUUGGAUGUAUGAGGGUCUCAUUAUAAGAAAGCUUAAAUUAUCUUCAUGAAGCAAAAAAUAAAAAUAAAAAAAAAAAAUAUAGAAACCAUCUAGUUACAGUAGCUUUUAAAUGACAUUAUUUCCUAAAAAGUAAUUCUACUUGGCCUUCAUAAACCUUAGCUGAAACUCAGGCUCUCUGCUUCCUUGUAAGUGGUCGUGGUUGGUUGCACUGUAGCUUAGAACAAAGUCAUUUGUGUCAAAAUUGAUAACUGGAAAUUCAGAAACAUGCUAGGAAUAUUGGUUGUCUGGUUGGCUCUGUAGGCUCAUACUUGUUAGAAAGCUAGAAGGCACCAGAGGCCCAGCUGACAACCUCAGAUUCAGGAUCCUGAAGCCAUAAAUUGGAAAUCUUGGGCUUUGGGGAAGAAAGGUGCUCCUGGAACAUGGGGGCUUUUUCAAGUCUUUACUGCCAACUUUAUUCCAGUGGGUGGAAAAAUUCCCCUUGAGGCAGAGCCCCAGAGGGCCCAGGUCAUUAGAGACAGUAGGAAGCCAGUGAGGAUUUUGUGGAAAGUCCUCCUGGGAUUCAGCAAAAAGUUGUUGAAUGCAAAAAUUCUCUACUGCCACACCUUACUUGCUGCAGUUAGCAUUUUCUGACCAGCACCAUAGCUAUAUCGCUGGGACUAGAGUAAAUAAAAA